rnacentral:rRNA from 1 species
GCUAACGGCUGAACUGGCAACUUGGAGAAGUGGCAAGUCUUAUAGUAUGGGCUGGUGCUACCCCCAGUUCUAUAAGAUUGUAUUAGAAUUGAAUGAAGCUUUGUUUAUAUAUUGAUAAUGACAGUAUAUAUAUCGUGUCUUGACUAAUUGCGUGCCAGCAGUCGCGGUAAUACGUAAGAGACUAGUGUUAUUCAUCUUAAUUAGGUUUAAAGGGUACCCAGACGGUCAAUAUAGCUUAUAAAAUGUUAGUACUUGACUAGAGUUUUAUGUAAGAGGGCAGUACUUGAGGAGGAGAGAUGAAAUUCUGUGAUACCAAAGGGACUCUGUGAAGGCGAAGGCAGCCCUCUAUGUAAAAACUGACGUUGAAGGACGAAGGCACAGAGAACAAACAGGAUUAGAUACCCAAGUAGUCUUUGCAGUAAAUGAUGAAUGCCAUAGGUCAGAUUAAUAGUUAAUGUUGGAGCUUGCGUGGCGCAAGCUAAACAGUAGUGCUAAAAAAAAUGUAUUUUUUUUUUAUGCAUGCAGGAUGCUUCGCCAGCAGCCAGCUAAUACAUUAAAGGUUAUUUGGUCUAUAAAUGAAAGUGUAAGCAUUUCACCUCAAGAGUAAUGUGGCAACGCAGGAACUGAAAUCACUAGACCGUUUCUGACACCAGUAGUGAAG